AGGUGUUGUUGGGUAGGGGAGCGUUCUGUAAGCCUGCGAAGGUGGCCUGUGAGGGUUGCUGGAGGUAUCAGAAGUGCGAAUGCUGACAUAAGUAACGAUAAAGCGGGUGAAAAGCCCGCUCGCCGGAAGACCAAGGGUUCCUGUCCAACGUUAAUCGGGGCAGGGUGAGUCGACCCCUAAGGCGAGGCCGAAAGGCGUAGUCGAUGGGAAACGGGUUAAUAUUCCCGUACUUGGUGUUACUGCGAAGGGGGGACGGAGAAGGCUAUGUUGGCCGGGCGACGGUUGUCCCGGUUUAAGCGUGUAGGUGUGUGUUCCAGGUAAAUCCGGUUCACUUUAACACUGAGGCGUGACGACGAGGCACUACGGUGCUGAAGCAACAAAUGCCCUGCUUCCAGGAAAAGCCUCUAAGCAUCAGGUAACAUCAAAUCGUACCCCAAACCGACACAGGUGGUCAGGUAGAGAAUACCAAGGCGCUUGAGAGAACUCGGGUGAAGGAACUAGGCAAAAUGGUGCCGUAACUUCGGGAGAAGGCACGCUGACACGUAGGUGAAGUGAUUUACUCACGGAGCUGAAGUCAGUCGAAGAUACCAGCU
rnacentral:rRNA from 1 species